UAGUUGGUGGGGUAAUGGCUCACCAAGGCGACGAUCAGUAGCGGGUCUGAGAGGAUGAUCCGCCACACUGGAACUGAGACACGGUCCAGACUCCUACGGGAGGCAGCAGUGGGGAAUUUUGGACAAUGGGGGAAACCCUGAUCCAGCCAUUCCGCGUGAGUGAAGAAGGCCUUCGGGUUGUAAAGCUCUUUCAGCUGGAACGAAACGGUACGCUCUAACAUAGCGUGCUAAUGACGGUACCAGCAGAAGAAGCACCGGCUAACUACGUGCCAGCAGCCGCGGUAAUACGUAGGGUGCGAGCGUUAAUCGGAAUUACUGGGCGUAAAGCGUGCGCAGGCGGAUUGUUAAGCAAGAUGUGAAAUCCCCGGGCUUAACCUGGGAAUGGCAUUUUGAACUGGCAGUCUAGAGUGUGUCAGAGGGGGGUGGAAUUCCACGUGUAGCAGUGAAAUGCGUAGAUAUGUGGAGGAACACCAAUGGCGAAGGCAGCCCCCUGGGAUAACACUGACGCUCAUGUACGAAAGCGUGGGUAGCAAACAGGAUUAGAUACCCUGGUAGUCCACGCCCUAAGCGAUGUCAACUGGUUGUUGGGGGAGUGAAAUCCCUUAGUAACGAAGCUAACGCGUGAAGUUGACCGCCUGGGGAGUACGGUCGCAAGAUUAAAACUCAAAGGAAUUGACGGGGACCCGCACAAGCGGUGGAUGAUGUGGAUUAAUUCGAUGCAACGCGAAAAACCUUACCUACCCUUGACAUGUCCAGAAUCCUGCAGAGAUGCGGGAGUGCCCGAAAGGGAAUUGGAACACAGGUGCUGCAUGGCUGUCGUCAGCUCGUGUCGUGAGAUGUUGGGUUAAGUCCCGCAACGAGCGCAACCCUUAUCAUUAGUUGCUACGCAAGGGCACUCUAAUGAGACUGCCGG
rnacentral:rRNA from 1 species